rnacentral:rRNA from 1 species
AACGUUGUUGCAGUUAAAAAGCUCGUAGUUGAAGUGAAGUGUGGAAGUUUGGCAUUUUCGUUUGAAUUUGCUUCUCUUCUAUACUCUUUCCAAAUAGUUUGCAUGGGUAUUCAUUUAUCUGUGUAUUGCAUUUGGUCAUUUACUGUGAGAAAAUUAGAGUGUUCAAAGCAUACGUUUGUUUGAAUACAUUAGCAUGGAAUAAUUCGAAAAGGCUUUCAUGUUCGAUUUGAUUGGUUUGUUCGUGAAGGCAAGAUUAAAAGGGACAGUUGGGGGUAUUCAUAUUCAAUAGUCAGAGGUGAAAUUCUCGGAUUUAUGGAAGAUGAACUAGUGCGAAAGCAUUUACCAAGGAUGUUUUCAUUAAUCAAGAACGAAAGUUAGGGGAUCGAAGAGGCUUAGAUACCCUCGUAGUCUUAACUAUAAACGAUACCGACUAGGGGUUAGUGGAGGUCAUUUGUCUCUACUAGUACCUUAUGAGAAAUCAAAGUCUUUGGGUUCCGGGGGGAGUAUGGUCGCAAGGCUGAAACUUAAAGGAAUUGACGGAAGGGCACCACCAGGAGUGGAGCCUGCGGCUUAAUUUGACUCAACACGGGGAAACUUACCAGGUCCAGACAUAGGAAGGAUAGACAGAACAAAGCUCUUUCUUGAUUCUAUGGGUGGUGGUGCAUGGCCGUUCUUAGUUGGUGGAUUGAUUUGUCAGGCUAGUUCCGAUAACGAACGCGACCUCCGCCUACUAAAUAGAAACAUGUAAUUCGUUAUAUGUUUCUUCUUAGAGGGACACUAUACAUUAAGUGUAGGGAAGCUGGAGGCAAUAACAGGUCUGUGAUGCCCUUAGAUGUCCUGGGCUGCACGCGCGCGACACUGAUUGAUUCAACAAGUGGCUGAUUUGAAAGAAUUGGC